ensembl:lncRNA
CUUCCCUCACAUUUUUACCGGCUGGUCUUGAGAGGCGGGACCUUGUAGCCGGGAAGGGCGUUCUUUUUGCGGUCAGACAGCGCAGUCAUUCCAAGGGGUGGGUCCUCCGGCGCAGAAAGGAAAACCCACCUUUUUCAUUGUUGGGGACGCGGUGGAAUGUGAUGGUUUGAUCUUACAGCACAGGGAAUGGGAACGUGGAGAAAAGACACAGAGAAAGCAAUCCGGUCAGAGUGAUAAAUAAUACAAUCUCCCCUCAUUUUUGCUCCCGGGUACGUCUAGCCAGCCGACGAGUAUGUGGAAGAACUUGUGUUCACCGUCACCGAGUCAUCUUGUUCGCUUCAACUACUCUCCGUAUCAAAUCGCGUGAACUUGUGGAUUACCUGCGUUUCGCGCUUCUCGCCAAGGCACGCGAUAGUAAGUAUUCAUGUUAAUUUGUCAAUUGUUUUAAAUCGCUAUGGGAUGUGUGCGUGGCAGCGGCUUGCUUACUUCGACAAUGUCGGUACUGCAGAACUCCGAACUGCGGCAAGUUUGUACCCCUCCUCCUCCCUCCUGUUCUGUCCUAUCCCCAUUUGUCAGCCGAAAAUCCGGUUUAUUAUCAUUUUCAAACCCCAUCCAAAGAUGGUUAAUGAUACGCCAUAGGCCAUUGUCAUAAACCGUCCAAAGGUGGUUAAUGAUGGUGACCCUACAGUAUAUUUCUGGGUCACGAAUGGGGCUAGUUGUGUCGUAGUCUGAGGAAGCAUCCAGGACUGCGGCGAUAGCCAGGUGGCAUCAACAAAAAGUAGCAGUGAUAUCCAGUUCUUACUUCUUGUUUUAGUUAUCCGCCGCGGGGAUUCGGGAUUUGAAAUGCAGCCCUUUUGUCAGUCCGAUCAAGUUAAGUUAGUUGUCCCUUUGCUCGGUGCCAUCCAAAUGGAGACAGACGUUUAACCAUUAACAAUCUUGAGGACGUAUUUUACGUCAUUGUUCACGACAAGGAAUUCCUUGUACAAAUUUUUUUUUAAUGAAGCGAAACUGUUUCUCCCAAAUGCAGUCAUACUGUGCAAAUAAAACCCGGAUUAGGCCUAUUGGUGGGCAAAGAAAGACUGAAAACAAAUCGGCUAUAUAACCCAAGAUGUCUGAUGAAUGGCCAGCAAACUGCCUAACGAGAAUAGUAUUGCUUAGGUAGGAAACAUAAACUGUCAUGUGUUGUGGUUCGUGUAUAGUGUAACACGCACAAAGCAACGAUCACAUUUGUCUGGCACAUUUUAGCACCUCAAAGGCAUAGGCCUUAGCCAGAGGUGCUAAUGAAUGAUGUUUUGGAUCAGUCCUCUGGCAGAUGUGUUCAGGUGCCAGUUUUAAGUCGUCAAUCCUGUGUGUGUGUGUGUGUGUGUGUGUGUGUGUGUGUGUGUGUGUGUGUGUGUGUGUGUGUGUAAAGUUGAUGUUUGAUGUGUUUGUGGAGGACUUCUCAUAGUCAUAAUUUGGGGCCAAAGCUUGUGCCAUGCAAAUUAAUUGUUAACGUAUGAACACCUCUUCUGAACAGACUAACCCCGUUGCUCUAACAACUGAGAUGAACGACAUGUGUUUGAUUCCUUGUUCAACACACCGGCCCACUUUGCUGCUGCUGGUUCUGCCUCUGCUGCCGUUUGUCAGCAACCAGAAAUGGCGGUGGCAGAGGUUGAUUACUAAGCUGCCAGGUGGGGCUCGUAAAAAAAAAAAAGCAGAGAGGCAGGGUGAUGGAGGGGGACCUGCCUUGACCUGUUUCAGACACGAAGGAGGAAGGAGAGAAAAAAAAAAAAGCAACUAAGAAAAAAACCUCACUGAUCACUUUCCAGUAAGGAGCUGCCUGCCUCCCAGCUAGCUGUAGUUGAUGCCAGCUACCAGCCUCUCUGCUGCUUGCUCUUGGCUGGCUCACCAGAAGCCAGCCAACUCCCCACCCACACCACACACCCACAUAUCCCCAACUUAAAGCACAAGUAUCUGCAAGUCAGCCCCGUGGAGGAGGCGGCAGCUGGGCUUAGCCUUGCGGUUAGAAAGGCUUUUUUCACAGACAGUUUUCUAUCUAACUUAUUCUCCAGGGUUCUUUAACUGCUUCCUCACUUCAACAAGAAGCUUAAUAGAGAUACUUGAAGAAGUAGUCAUUUUAAGUUGUGUGUGAGUGUGUGUGUGUGUGUGUGUGUGUGUGUGUGUGUGUGUGAGAUCACAGUGUUUACACAUCCUACAAGUUUCUCUGCCAGGUAUUCUUUACUUCAGGUUUGACUGGUGUAUGUGUUAGCAUGUGUUUCGAUCUUUUUGGCCUGACGGCAGGAAAGCUUCUAAGAGGAUGUGACCUUUGGCUGUUACCUUUUACAGAACGUAAUGGUUCGAACACUUUCAGAGACCUCUGUUUACACAACAGGAGUGCCACUGCCAAAGCUGUUCUCUUGACCAUGGUACUUUGACGCCUAAAUGGAGUUCCUCAUCAUCAUAGCCGCACAGUCAGACGGCGAUGGCGUUUUUGCGUCUAUCUUGCAUUUCAUUUGGUCCAGGAUCGUCGCCCGCUAUCUGUUAUAUGUAUCCCCCUAGCCCGUCCUUCAUUUUAUGACACACGGUUCCACGUCAUGCAUUAUUUGUUUUCCACUGCAUGGAACACUGCAACC